rnacentral:rRNA from 1 species
CAGUAGCCGCGGGAAUACGUAGGUGGCAAGCGUUGUCCGGAAUUAUUGGGCGUAAAGGGCUCGCAGGCGGUUUCUUAAGUCUGAUGUGAAAGCCCCCGGCUCAACCGGGGAGGGUCAUUGGAAACUGGGAAACUUGAGUGCAGAAGAGGAGAGCGGAAUUCCACGUGUAGCGGUGAAAUGCGUAGAGAUGUGGAGGAACACCAGUGGCGAAGGCGACUCUCUGGUCUGUAACUGACGCUGAGGAGCGAAAGCGUGGGGAGCAAACAGGAUUAGAUACCCGCGUAGUCCCUGUCUCUUAUAA